CGGGUGGACAUUUUCUGCAGUUGAGUCCACCCCUGAAAAGCAUGCUGUCUCUGGUCAGGCUAGUUAGACUUGAAAUAUUUGUAGCUAAUAUGGCUCUGAAGCGCUCUGUGCGCACUUUUUGUUAUUAUUAUGACGAUACAUGAUUGUUAGAGGUUGGAGAAAAAAAAAUCUAAAUUUGAUAAAAGCUUGCACGUCGAAGCAGUGUGACUAGGCCGCAUCGGCGAGGACAUGUGAAGGGCUGGUGAUAAACUCGGGAUUGGUGCAGUGAGUUUGAGGCGAUUGCACAUCCACACGUGGACAGAGGGGUGGUGGAGGACUUGCUCACGAGGGCCCAUAAAGAUCCCAUGAUUUUAUGAUAUGGUUGGACUGAGAUGGCGGACAAGCACGUGGAUACUGUAAAUCACCAGGGGACACCAUGGCUUAUAAAUGAUGACGUUUUUGCAUUCCCUGAUAUUCAUUUUUAAACUGGCAAAUGAACAAAUAUCUGUAUGAAUAAAGUAUUGGUCCACAAACUCAAAUAUUGGUGUUCAUUUAAUUCCACUUGACAUGUUUUAGCAAACUGAUUCUGUUGAAGGCACUUGUUUGAACCUGAAUGGCGUUUUCAUUGUCCAUUCACUAAGGUCAAAAGCAGUGCAACAUCAUGUCUUGUCAUAACUGGGGUUUCUUGGCAAUUUCACCAAGUCUCUCUUUUAAAGCAAGGCACAGAAUCUAAAUGCAGUUUAGAACAAUAACUUUUCUCUAUGCAGAAAAUGCACCUAUGCAGGAAGGUAGCAUUUUAAAUAGGUCUGUAGUGCUGCUGGGAUUGGUGGUCCUCCUCAACAUGAACAUAUUGAGUCUUUUAAAAAAAAAAAUAAAA